rnacentral:rRNA from 1 species
GAUGAACGCUGGCGGCGUGCCUAAUACAUGCAAGUCGAGCGAACGGACGAGAAGCUUGCUUCUCUGAUGUUAGCGGCGGACGGGUGAGUAACACGUGGAGAACCUACCUAUAAGACUGGGAUAACUUCGGGAAACCGGAGCUAAUACCGGAUAAUAUUUUGAACCGCAUGGUUCAAAAGUGAAAGACGGUCUUGCUGUCACUGAUAGAUGGAUCCGCGCUGCAUUAGCUAGUUGGUAAGGUAACGGCUUACCAAGGCAACGAUGCAUAGCCGACCUGAGAGAGUGAUCGGCCACACUGGAACUGAGACACGGUCCAGACUCCUACGGGAGGCAGCAGUAGGGAAUCUUCCGCAAUGGGCGAGAGCCUGACGGAGCAACGCCGCGUGAGUGAUGAAGGUCUUCGGAUCGUAAAACUCUGUUAUUAGGGAAGAACAUAUGUGUAAGUAACUGUGCACAUCUUGACGGUACCUAAUCAGAAAGCCACGGCUAACUACGUG